UCCUACGGGGGGCAGCAGUGGGGAAUAUUGCACAAUGGGGGAAACCCUGAUGCAGUGACGCCGCGUGAGUGAAGAAGUAUUUCGGUAUGUAAAGCUCUAUCAGCAGGGAAGAAAAUGACGGUACCUGACUAAGAAGCCCCGGCUAACUACGUGCCAGCAGCCGCGGUAAUACGUAGGGGGCAAGCGUUAUCCGGACUUACUGGGUGUAAAGGGAGCGUAGACGGCUGCGCAAGUCAGAAGUGAAAGCCCGGGGCUCAACCGCGGGACUGCUUUUGAAACUGUGUAGCUAGAGUGCAGGAGAGGUA
rnacentral:rRNA from 1 species